rnacentral:lncRNA from 1 species
CCUUAGCAUAGCCGGUCACCUUGUCAUUCAGACUCCGACAUAGUCUAUCACCUUGUCUUUCAGACCCUGGCUCAGUCGAGACUAGCCACACAUUUUCGGCUAGUGAACUGGCUCUGAUACCAAAUAUAACGACCAAACCUACUAGCAAUAAUAACUCUUUCGGCCCAACCAUCGGCUCAAAAUGCUUAAGCCCAGUUAUUAUUACUAGUUUCUAAGUCUUUUAUAUACCCAAUCACAUCCCCAUUCAUAUCCGAUAUGGGAUUAUUGGGGUGUGACAGACUCCCCCCGUUAAGGCCUUGACGUCCUCGUCAGUUCAAUCACACACACAGUCUAAGAUCACCAGGGAUGUGAGACUUGUCUCGCUAGCCUUGUCAUCCAGACCUUGGCAUAGCCGAUCAUCUUGUCAUUCAGACUUCGACAUAGUCUAUCACCUUGUCUUUCAGACUCUGGCUCAGCCAAAACUCACCACACAUUUUCGGCUCGUGAACUGGCUUUGAUACCAACUGUAACGACCCAGCCCACUAGUAAUAAUAACUCGUUGCCCCAACCACCGGCCCAAAAUGCUUAAACCCAGUUAUUAUUACUAGUGUCUAAGUCUUUUAUAUACCCAAUCACAUCCCCAUUCAUAUCCGAUAUGGGAUUAUUAGGGUGUGACACACAGCAUGGACAUUACUAAUAAAAUAUAAUAUUAUUAAUAUAAUAAUAUAUUUUUAUUAUAUAUAAAAUAUUAAUUUUAGUAAAAUAUUGUUAUAUUUCUCAUAUGAUUGAAAGUUAGUAAAAUUUUUAUUAAUAGUUCAUAUAUUUUAAGAAAAAAAAUUCUCCACCGUACAUAAUUUAUUUAUAUUGUAAAAAAAAAAUUUGUAUGCAUUCAUCAAAAAGCUAAAAUAUUUAUUAUCUUACAUUAGAUGCAUAAAAAAAGUAAAAUAAAAAUAUGUAU